rnacentral:rRNA from 1 species
CUGCGGAGGUCAUUAAUGAAUUCACUAUGGAGUUGUUGCUGGCCUCUAGGGGCAUGUGCACGCUUCACUAGUCUUUCAACCACCUGUGAACUUUUGAUAGAUCUGUGAAGUCGUCUUUCAAGUCGUCAGACUUGGUUUGCUGGGAUUUAAACGUCUCGGUGUGACAACGCAGUCUAUUUACUUAACACACCCCAAAUGUAUGUCUACGAAUGUCAUUUAAUGGGCCUUGUGCCUAUAAACCAUAAUACAACUUUCAACAACGGAUCUCUUGGCUCUCGCAUCGAUGAAGAACGCAGCGAAAUGCGAUAAGUAAUGUGAAUUGCAGAAUUCAGUGAAUCAUCGAAUCUUUGAACGCACCUUGCGCCCCUUGGUAUUCCGAGGGGCAUGCCUGUUUGAGUGUCAUUAAAUUCUCAAACUCACUUUGGUUUUUUCCAAUUGUGAUGUUUGGAUUGUUGGGGGCUGCUGGCCUUGACAGGUCGGCUCCUCUUAAAUGCAUUAGCAGGACUUCUCAUUGCCUCUGCGCAUGAUGUGAUAAUUAUCACUCAUCAAUAGCACGCAUGAAUAGAGUCCAGCUCUCUAAUCGUCCGCAAGGACAAUUUGACAAUUUGACCUC